rnacentral:sRNA from 1 species
AGGAUGACUGCCGAAGACAGCAGGUGCCGUAUGGCAUAAGGAAAAAACGCCUGCCGAGGAGUACAAAUUCUGAAGAAAGAAUUUUGGUUCCCUCUGUCUCGCAGAGGGUAUUUUUUU